rfam:Asian citrus Psyllid, Diaphorina citri - Florida Strain, whole genome shotgun sequence.
GCCUACUUAGCUUAUUUGGUAGUGCGUCUGCCUUGUAAGCGCUAGGCCGCGGGUUCGAUUCCCGCCCGGGGCG